CAACUUUCAGCAGUGGAUGUCUAGGCUCGCACAUCGAUGAAGAACGCUGCGAACUGCGAUACGUAAUGCGAAUUGCAGAAUUCAGUGAGUCAUCGAAAUUUUGAACGCAUAUUGCACUUCCGGGUUAUGCCUGGAAGUAUGUCUGUAUCAGUGUCCGUACAUUAAACUUGCCUCUCUUCGUCGGUGUAGUCCGGCUUGGAGAAGGAGCAGAGGUGAAGUGUCUCGCGCCAUGCUGGUGAUCUAUCUUCGGGUAGAUGACGAGAGUGCACGAGUCCUUUGAAAUGGACUCCGGUUUUUCUAUUGCGUUGCUCAAGGGCGUGUAUUUUGAACGCGGCAAUC
rnacentral:rRNA from 1 species